rnacentral:rRNA from 1 species
GUAGUCAUAUGCUUGUCUCAAAGAUUAAGCCAUGCAUGUCUAAGUAUAAGCAACUUGUACUGUGAAACUGCGAAUGGCUCAUUAAAUCAGUUAUCGUUUAUUUGAUAGUACCUUACUACAUGGAUACCUGUGGUAAUUCUAGAGCUAAUACAUGCUAAAAACCCCGACUUCAGGAAGGGGUGUAUUUAUUAGAUAAAAAACCAACGCCCUUCGGGGCUCCUUGGUGAAUCAUAAUAACUUAACGAAUCGCAUGGCCUUGCGCCGGCGAUGGUUCAUUCAAAUUUCUGCCCUAUCAACUUUCGAUGGUAGGAUAGUGGCCUACCAUGGUGGCAACGGGUAACGGGGAAUUAGGGUUCGAUUCCGGAGAGGGAGCCUGAGAAACGGCUACCACAUCCAAGGAAGGCAGCAGGCGCGCAAAUUACCCAAUCCCGAUACGGGGAGGUAGUGACAAUAAAUACUGAUACGGGGCUCUUUUGGGUCCCGUAAUUGGAAUGAGAAGC